GACGAACCGUGCGAACGUUAUUCGGAAUCACUGGGCUUAAAGCGCGUGUAGGCGGGACGGCACGUCGGUCGCUGAAAGCCCCCGGCUCAACCGGGGAACGGGCGCCGAUACGACCGGCCUGGAGGGACGUAGGGGGACCUGGAACUUCCGGUGGAGCGGUGAAAUGCGUUGAGAUCGGAAGGAACGCCCGUGGCGAAAGCGGCAUACUGGACCACUUCUGACGCUGAGGCGCGAAAGCCAGGGGAGCAAACGGG
rnacentral:rRNA from 1 species